GCUGCCGGCGCUCCGUGACUGAGACAGUGAGAGGUCUAUCCUACCGGACCGCUUUCCUGCAGAACGUGAUUUGGGAUGAGCUCCGCUUGGAUGAUCUGUUUUAUUGAGGUUCAGAAGAACCGCCAUGGCCGUCUUGAAUCGAUCUGAAACGUCUGACAUAAAAGUCGAACAAACAGAGUUGGGCAUUUGCGCCGCGUCACGGCUUACAUGCGGGCUCAAGCUGUCAUAAUUGUGCCUAGUUUUAACCAGGUGAGCGGUUGCCCAGUCGGUAUAUUUUAGGGGAAAUUAGGCAUGACACCGGUAGUUUUUUGUGCAAAAGUUCGAAAUUGAUGUUCUUUUUAAACCAUAACCACAGUGUGGCGGUUUUAUGCUAUUUAUUCAAAUUA